GAUGAACGCUGGCGGCGUGCCUAAUACAUGCAAGUCGAGCGAACAGACGAGGAGCUUGCUCCUCUGACGUUAGCGGCGGACGGGUGAGUAACACGUGGAUAACCUACCUAUAAGACUGGGAUAACUUCGGGAAACCGGAGCUAAUACCGGAUAAUAUAUUGAACCGCAUGGUUCAAUAGUGAAAGACGGUUUUGCUGUCACUUAUAGAUGGAUCCGCGCCGCAUUAGCUAGUUGGUAAGGUAACGGCUUACCAAGGCAACGAUGCGUAGCCGACCUGAGAGGGUGAUCGGCCACACUGGAACUUAGACACGGUCCAGACUCCUACGGGAGGCAGCAGUAGGGAAUCUUCCGCAAUGGGCGAAAACCUGACGGAGCAACGCCGCGUGAGUGAUGAAGGUCUUCGGAUCGUAAAACUCUGUUAUUAGGGAAGAACAAAUGUGUAAGUAACUAUGCACGUCUUGACGGUACCUAAUCAGAAAGCCACGGCUAACUACGUG
rnacentral:rRNA from 1 species